rnacentral:misc_RNA from 1 species
UUUAAAGAAAUAAUUACAUAAAAUAUUUUAAAGAAUCGAUAACCGAAUCGGAUUCGUACUAAACCGAGCUGGAAUCGAAGAAUCGAGAACGUACCAAACCGGAACCGAAACAACGAAGAACUAAAUUGAAACGAUACUGAAAUUUCAGUUCGAUUCCGAUCCGAACCAAAUCGAAACCAUGCACUCCUAAUACUAAAGAUGACUUGAUUUUAUUAGAAUUCAACUCAUUUAAUGAAGUAUUAUGCUAAAAAUUCAAAACACUAUUCUUUUAAGUUGUAUUUAAAAAAAAAAAAGGGGAAAUUAAAAAAAACAAGAAUAUUUAUCUUAUUUGUCAAUCAUGCUAAAUGAUAGAAUUCAAAUGAAUUCUAUAUCGUUUCAAAAUUUAUUUCAAAUAUAUGAAUUUUACAAAAUCUUUUGGGUUGAUUUUUUUAAUAAAAUUAUUUUAACACAAAGUUAUUUCAAAUGGAUUAUUAUUGAGUUUCAUUUUGGCAAAUUUUUAUUUUUCUCUUGUAAAAAAAUUAAAUUUUCUUUCCAAAGGAAAGAAGAGAAUAUUUUAAAGUGGGAGUGGAAUUAACUUUAGUUUAAAAAAAGAUAUACAAGGGCCUAUAUAUAAAUAUGUAUAUCCGUAAAAUUUUAAUUAAAAUAAUCGUCCAGAAAUGAAUUUUAAUUUAAUUGUUGUGUACUGCGGAAGCGUGAAAACUGCAAAAAAACAAAUAAACACACAAAACACGAAUAUUUACGUGGUUCACCCUCUCAACAUAGGGCUACAUCCACGAGCAUGCUAUCUUCCACUAUCUUCGAUAAUGAAUCAUCAAUUACAAACUCAAACUAUACUACCCAUCAACCUAAUUACACCCAAAAGAACCCAUACAACAUCGAACUAUUCAUAGUAAAUAUAUUAGUUAGU